AAGGAAAAGACAUCAGACUUAUCAGUGAGCUUCCUUUCUUGGCCAUCUUUAAUAUAAUAUUCAGGAGGGGCAUAAGCAGGAGUUCCCUUUGGAUCGGUGGAAACGUGAGUAGCAGAGUCUGCAAAAUCUUUGGAAAAUCCAAAAUCUCCAAUCUUUGGCUCAAAUUUAUCAUUGAGAAGAAUAUUAUCACUUUUAAUAUCUCGAUGGAUGAUUCUAGGAUGACAGCCUUCAUGUAAAUGUGUCAAUCCUUCUGCUGUACCCAAAGCAAUUUUCAUUCGGC
rnacentral:misc_RNA from 1 species